rnacentral:rRNA from 1 species
ACUCAAAGGAAUAGACGGGGGCCCGCACAAGCGGUGGAGCAUGUGGAUUAAUUCGAGGCAACGCGAAGAACCUUACCAAGGCUUGACAUGGAGACGAUGCCGGCAGAGAUGCCGGGUUCCUUUCGGGGACGUCUCACACAGGUGGUGCAUGGUUGUCGUCAGCUCGUGUCGUGAGAUGUUAGGUUAAGUCCUGCAACGAGCGCAACCCUUAUGUUUAGUUGCUACCGGGUAGAGCCGGGCACACUAGAGAGACUGCCGUGGACAACACGGAGGAAGGCGGGGACGAGGUCAAAUCAUCAUGCCCCUUACGUCUUGGGCUUCACACGUGCUACAAUGGUUCAAACAGAGUGAAGCGAGCCCGCGAGGGGGAGCGGAUCACAAAAAGGAGCCUCAGUUCGGAUUGCAGGCUGCAACUCGCCUGCAUGAAGUUGGAAUCGCUAGUAAUCGCGAAUCAGCAUGUCGCGGUGAAUACGUUCCCGGGCCUUGUACACACCGCCCGU